rnacentral:lncRNA from 12 species
UACAACCUAAGUGCCACACACUCAAUGUCCACUGGGAAAGAUCCGAAACAGGAGGCUCUGUUCUGGAUCCAAAGCACAUCACCAGGCAGGACUAAGAGAUGCCUCAGAGAUGCUACUUGGUGCUGAAGUUGGAAAAGUAAUUACUGCAAUACUUAAUUCUAGUUGAAGCCAACGUCAUGCAGAAAAUCACUGCCUGGCACUGCCCUCUUUCGCUUGCCACAAUCAUCACAGAUGUGGAUGAUCUGUUCAGUACCACUUCAAAAAUAGGUAGUUGGAAAAGUUAUGGAUUGUUUCCUUAAUAGCAAA